rnacentral:tRNA from 1 species
GUUAACGUAGCUUAACUACAAAGCGUGGCACUGAAAAUGCCAAGAUUGGACCCUAAAAAGCCCCGAUGACA